rnacentral:rRNA from 1 species
AGCGUACACGGUGGAUGCCCUGGCAGUCAGAGGCGAUGAAGGACGUGCUAAUCUGCGAUAAGCGUCGGUAAGGUGAUAUGAACCGUUAUAACCGGCGAUUUCCGAAUGGGGAAACCCAGUGUGUUUCGACACACUAUCAUUAACUGAAUCCAUAGGUUAAUGAGGCGAACCGGGGGAACUGAAACAUCUAAGUACCCCGAGGAAAAGAAAUCAACCGAGAUUCCCCCAGUAGCGGCGAGCGAACGGGGAGGAGCCCAGAGCCUGAAUCAGUGUGUGUGUUAGUGGAAGCGUCUGGAAAGGCGCGCGAUACAGGGUGACAGCCCCGUACACAAAAAUGCACAUGCUGUGAGCUCGAUGAGUAGGGCGGGACACGUGGUAUCCUGUCUGAAUAUGGGGGGACCAUCCUCCAAGGCUAAAUACUCCUGACUGACCGAUAGUGAACCAGUACCGUGAGGGAAAGGCGAAAAGAACCCCGGCGAGGGGAGUGAAAAAGAACCUGAAACCGUGUACGUACAAGCAGUGGGAGCACGCUUAGGCGUGUGACUGCGUACCUUUUGUAUAAUGGGUCAGCGACUUAUAUUCUGUAGCAAGGUUAACCGAAUAGGGGAGCCGAAGGGAAACCGAGUCUUAACUGGGCGUUAAGUUGCAGGGUAUAGACCCGAAACCCGGUGAUCUAGCCAUGGGCAGGUUGAAGGUUGGGUAACACUAACUGGAGGACCGAACCGACUAAUGUUGAAAAAUUAGCGGAUGACUUGUGGCUGGGGGUGAAAGGCCAAUCAAACCGGGAGAUAGCUGGUUCUCCCCGAAAGCUAUUUAGGUAGCGCCUCGUGAAUUCAUCUCCGGGGGUAGAGCACUGUUUCGGCAAGGGGGUCAUCCCGACUUACCAACCCGAUGCAAACUGCGAAUACCGGAGAAUGUUAUCACGGGAGACACACGGCGGGUGCUAACGUCCGUCGUGAAGAGGGAAACAACCCAGACCGCCAGCUAAGGUCCCAAAGUCAUGGUUAAGUGGGAAACGAUGUGGGAAGGCCCAGACAGCCAGGAUGUUGGCUUAGAAGCAGCCAUCAUUUAAAGAAAGCGUAAUAGCUCACUGGUCGAGUCGGCCUGCGCGGAAGAUGUAACGGGGCUAAACCAUGCACCGAAGCUGCGGCAGCGACGCUUAUGCGUUGUUGGGUAGGGGAGCGUUCUGUAAGCCUGUGAAGGUGUGCUGUGAGGCAUGCUGGAGGUAUCAGAAGUGCGAAUGCUGACAUAAGUAACGAUAAAGCGGGUGAAAAGCCCGCUCGCCGGAAGACCAAGGGUUCCUGUCCAACGUUAAUCGGGGCAGGGUGAGUCGACCCCUAAGGCGAGGCCGAAAGGCGUAGUCGAUGGGAAACAGGUUAAUAUUCCUGUACUUGGUGUUACUGCGAAGGGGGGACGGAGAAGGCUAUGUUGGCCGGGCGACGGUUGUCCCGGUUUAAGCGUGUAGGCUGGUUUUCCAGGCAAAUCCGGAAAAUCAAGGCUGAGGCGUGAUGACGAGGCACUACGGUGCUGAAGCAACAAAUGCCCUGCUUCCAGGAAAAGCCUCUAAGCAUCAGGUAACAUCAAAUCGUACCCCAAACCGACACAGGUGGUCAGGUAGAGAAUACCAAGGCGCUUGAGAGAACUCGGGUGAAGGAACUAGGCAAAAUGGUGCCGUAACUUCGGGAGAAGGCACGCUGAUAUGUAGGUGAAGUCCCUCGCGGAUGGAGCUGAAAUCAGUCGAAGAUACCAGCUGGCUGCAACUGUUUAUUAAAAACACAGCACUGUGCAAACACGAAAGUGGACGUAUACGGUGUGACGCCUGCCCGGUGCCGGAAGGUUAAUUGAUGGGGUCAGCGCAAGCGAAGCUCUUGAUCGAAGCCCCGGUAAACGGCGGCCGUAACUAUAACGGUCCUAAGGUAGCGAAAUUCCUUGUCGGGUAAGUUCCGACCUGCACGAAUGGCGUAAUGAUGGCCAGGCUGUCUCCACCCGAGACUCAGUGAAAUUGAACUCGCUGUGAAGAUGCAGUGUACCCGCGGCAAGACGGAAAGACCCCGUGAACCUUUACUAUAGCUUGACACUGAACAUUGAGCCUUGAUGUGUAGGAUAGGUGGGAGGCUU